ensembl:snRNA U6 U6 spliceosomal RNA
UUGCUUUGGCAGCAGAUAUACUAAAAUCAGGACAAUACAGAGAAGAUUAGCAUGGCCCUUGGGCAAAGAUGACAUGCAAAUUCGUGAAGUGUUCUAUAUUUUU